rnacentral:rRNA from 1 species
UACGUAGGGGGCGAGCGUUGUCCGGAAUUAUUGGGCGUAAAGAGCUCGUAGGCGGCUUGGCAAGUCGGAUGUGAAAACUCCAGGCUCAACCUGGAGCCGCCAUUCGAUACUGCUAUGGCUAGAGUCCGGUAGGGGAGUGUGGAAUUCCCGGUGUAGCGGUGAAAUGCGCAGAUAUCGGGAGGAACACCGAUGGCGAAGGCAGCACUCUGGGCCGGCACUGACGCUGAGGAGCGAAAGCGUGGGUAGCAAACAGG